GAGAAGGAAAUGGCAACCCACUCUAGGAUUCUCGCUUGGGAAAUCCCAUGCACAGAGGAGCCUCGUGGCCUACAGUCCAUUGCUCUUGCAAAAGAGCUGGACAUGACGUAAUGACUGAACAACAACAGUGUAGGUCCGGGUAGCAUGCAGUGGAUUUGGAAGCUUGAAACUACACAGAGGCUCUUGGUCAAUGCACAGCGGCUGCCCAGCUUCCGUAUGGAGCUCUAACGCACCCUAUCUUUAAUCUUGAGUUUCUGGAAUUAGGCUCCAACAUAACGGCUAUCAACCAAAGUCAACGUUUAUGUAUAAAUACCCUUCCUCCUUUAAUUCUAACCUAUUGUCCUGGUAAAUUUUGGAAAACUGAACUUCAGCAUGGCUGAGCUACUGUGAGAGGAUGUUGCGGGCUUCGUGUUCACUACAUGAAAAAAUGAAAUCCUAACUGCCUUAGCUCUGCAAAGGAAGCCUGGAAGAUGGGCCAAAUGUUUUUCCAGAUCCACAAUUGGAGACACAAAUCUGGCACACUGCUAGGACUGAAUGAUGUAACACGUAAAACUACAAGAUGCUGGGUAAAUUUAAAUGCAGAGAAAUGAUGACAAAUAUUAGUAUAUCUCUUGUAAUAC
ensembl:lncRNA